GUGUCUUAUCCUUGUCCCCUCCCCUUUCCAGCAUCCAACCCCUUCCCAUCGCCCCCCUCUGCUCUCUUGAGCGCCCCGGGGUGAGGAGCCACGGGCAGGGAUUGGGGAGGUGGGGAAAGGACAUGGCUGGGUGCUCCCAGAGCGGGGUGGGAGUCUGGGCACCCCCUCCCUGCUGCCCCCUCCAUCCUCCCCUCACCUGGGAGACGGGGCUGGAUCCCCAGGGGCUGAUCCCCGGGAAGGUGCUGAGGCUGGCCAUGGGGAUGCUGAUUCUCCUUUCAGGCCCCAGGUGAGGAGGAGGAGGAGGGAGGUCUGAGCCUCUUUCCUAUCCCAGCACUCCUGGAUCACCUGGAGCAAGGGGAAGCUCCAGAGCAUCUAAGAAGGAAAAUCAAGAUUUGCCAAAUCCAGGUCCUAGCAGGAAGAGGUGGUGACGGCUUCCCUGAUGUCUGGAGCUGCGUGCUGUCACCUGGAGCAGCAGGAGCCUGAUGCCACCCCAAGGCAAAGGAGGCACCUUCAUCAGCUCCACCAGAACCCCACCAGGGUGGGCUUCAACCCCUUAUCCCACCCAGCAUCUGCAGACCCCAGGACACAGCAGGCAGCCUCUCUUUAUCCUCAAAGCUGCCAGCUCAGGCUUAAAUUUCCUCUAUUUUACUAGAAAACUCGAUUCCUCGU